rnacentral:tRNA from 1 species
CAAAAUAUAGCUCAGCCAGAUAAAGCAUCUCCCUUACACCGAGAAGACAUUCGUGCAAAUCGAAUUAUUUUGA